UACGUAGGGGGCAAGCGUUGUCCGGAAUCAUUGGGCGUAAAGCGCGUGUAGGCUGCUUCGAAAGUCGGAUGUGAAAGCCCUGGGCUCAACCUAGGAAGUGCAUUCGAAACUUCGGAGCUGGAGUCCUGGAGAGGAAGGCGGAAUUCUCGGUGUAGAGGUGAAAUUCGUAGAUAUCGAGAGGAACACCGGUGGCGAAGGCGGCCUUCUGGACAGUGACUGACGCUGAGACGCGAAAGCGUGGGGAGCAAACAGG
rnacentral:rRNA from 1 species